GAAAAGAUCGUUGGAAAAUCGUUUUAUCACGAAAUGUCUCCUCCCGAGAAGAGAAAAAUGGAAUUUUAAUCUUUAAUGGAAAAAUUUACAAUCUCAAUAUGGGAAAAAAUACUGUGUAUACUGGUAUGCGUAAUUGUUCGUUUCAAAAAGUAGAGAAUACAGGAAAUGACUUGAUCCAACAACAUGAUGUUCAUUAUUAUCGUGCUGAUCAUGUUGGUGGAACUAAUCAUUUAAAGUAUACUUAUAAAGUCUUUCUUUUCAAUUUUAUAACAUAUGGAACAACCCCAGUAACUAAUACUUUGUCAACUGGAUUUGUAUUUUGGAGUAAUUCCUCCUUUGUCAAGCAGUCCGUAUGAAUCAACACCUAAAUUCCAAGAGUUUAUUGGCUAUUGGCAGGUAGAUGCAACGUUGGUCGUUGACUUUAAUAUGAAUUCGUCUGGUGUACGCAAUCCAUUUCGUAAAUGUAAUAAGAAUUUAUGUUUGUAAAGAUAAAGAAUGAUAUUAAAGAAUUUAAUGCAAAAGAUUCAUAUAUUGAUGGACAUCACGGUUAUGAAAAAUAAAACUAUUUAUUGCUACCAAACUUUCGUCUUUAUUGAUUUAAAUAGUCACACAUUAUACUAGGAUAAGGUUUUUUGUUACAAUUUUUUAAGAAUCCUCCUGUUUUUCAUGUAUAAGAAAUAACCCGGGGUUCAAAAGCUUCAUUGAGUGGAAUAACAUCGUAAUUAGUUAAAGUAAAAACAGGAGUUCUAUGGAUAAUGACCU
rnacentral:lncRNA from 1 species